AGUGAACGCUGGCGGUAGGCCUAACACAUGCAAGUCGAACGGCAGCACAGUAAGAGCUUGCUCUUACGGGUGGCGAGUGGCGGACGGGUGAGGAAUACAUCGGAAUCUACUUUUUCGUGGGGGAUAACGUAGGGAAACUUACGCUAAUACCGCAUACGACCUACGGGUGAAAGCAGGGGAUCUUCGGACCUUGCGCGAUUGAAUGAGCCGAUGUCGGAUUAGCUAGUUGGCGGGGUAAAGGCCUACCAAGGCGACGAUCCGUAGCUGGUCUGAGAGGAUGAUCAGCCACACUGGAACUGAGACACGGUCCAGACCCCUACGGGAGGCAGCAGUGGGGAAUAUUGGACAAUGGGCGCAAGCCUGAUCCAGCCAUACCGCGUGGGUGAAGAAGGCCUUCGGGUUGUAAAGCCCUUUUGUUGGGAAAGAAAAGCAGCAGGUUAAUACCCCGCUGUUCUGACGGUACCCAAAGAAUAAGCACCGGCUAACUUCGUG
rnacentral:rRNA from 1 species